CCAACGAAAAAGGGUCACGAUCGUGUGUUGGAACUGCAGGCGGUGAGUAAAACUGCUUCAAAUAUCUCUGUGUUGUUAACUUAGCUAUCGGCGCGUAAGCACAUCAAGUAAACAACAUGCGAUUUGGCAUCAAACUGCACUUCCCACAUGUACACCUUUUAAAGAAAAAAAAAAAAAGACGACAUAAAGUGGAACUUAGUCAUUUUCCAAAACCGCUAAGCAAAUAUAUACAGUUUCAAUACAUACCACAUAGAGACGUCCUGCUGUAUUCGUUGCUGCUGCUGCUCUUGUUCAAUUUCAGCCUCGGGAUCUGAUUCUGGAUCAUAAAUGUACGGCUGAAUCUGACUGUUAGCCAUGGUUUGUUUUGGAUGAUGCUUUUUUCUUCACUGUAAUGUCACAGCUUCCAGACGCUCUCAACGCAAAAGCCUACGUGCGCUCGUGAUUCUUUAGCUCCGCCCACACGUCACGCCUCCAGCCGUUCGUGUUUUUCCGGAAAAAAUCGGUACAGGCUAUCUUUCUCUUAUAAAUAUAAUAAAA